CAAGCCCAGCUCAUGAUGGGAUCACAGGGCAGAGAGCAAUUCAUUUUACCCCAGGGACCGGGGCCCCGGGGAUCAAGGCUCUUCGGGGUUUCUCGGGGAAGUGGCCAGAUCCCCUCUGAGGUUAGAGAGGGGACUUGUUUUGUUUUGCUCCACUGAGGAGCCUCUGCUGCUCAGAACCCCAAAAGGGAGAUUUGGAAGAUCCUGGAGUUUGUGGGGCGCUCCCUGCCAGAGGAGACCGUGGACCUUGUGGUUCAACACACGUCAUUCAGGGAGAUGAAAAAGAACCCUAUGACCAACUACACCACCAUCCCCCAGGAGUUCAUGGACCACAGUAUCUCCCCCUUCAUGAGGAAAGGCAUGGCUGGGGACUGGAAGACCACCUUCACCGUGGCGCAGAAUGAGCACUUCGAUGCGGACUAUGCGGAGAAGAUGGCAGGCUGCAGCCUCAGCUUCCGCUCUGAGCUGUGAGAGUGGCUCCUGGGGUCCCUCCAGAGGGAGUGUGUGAAUCUACCAUGACCAAUGGGCUCAAGAAUAAAGUAUGAUUUUUGAGUCAGGCACAGUGGCUCACGUCUGCAAUCCAAGCGAUUUGGGAGGCUGAGCUGGGAGGAUCGCAAUAGGCCACACAUUUGAGACCAGCCUGGUAAAAUAGUGAGACCUCAUCUCUACAAAGAUGUAAUGUAAUUAGCCACAUGUGCUGGCACUUACCUGUAGUCCCAGCUACUUGGGAAGCAGAGGCUGGAGGAUCAUUUCAGCCCAGGAGGUUGUGGAUACCAUGAGUUACGAUUAUGCCCAUACACUACAGCCUGGAUGACAAGCAAGACCCUCCCUCCGAAGAAAAUAAAUUUCAAUUAAAAUAAAA